rnacentral:rRNA from 1 species
UACGUAGGGUGCAAGCGUUAAUCGGAAUCACUGGGCGUAAAGCGCACGCAGGCGGGUCGUUAAGUCAGGGGUGAAAUCCCGAGGCUCAACCUCGGAACUGCCUUUGAUACUGGCGACCUUUGAGUCCGGGAGAGGUGAGUGGAACUCCGAGUGUAGAGGUGAAAUUCGUAGAUAUUCGGAAGAACACCAGUGGCGAAGGCGGCUCACUGGCCCGGUACUGACGCUCAUGUGCGAAAGCGUGGGGAGCAAACAGG